rnacentral:rRNA from 1 species
AUUGAACGCUGGCGGCAGGCCUAACACAUGCAAGUCGAACGAGUGGCGGACGGGUGAGUAAUGUCUGGGAAACUGCCUGAUGGAGGGGGAUAACUACUGGAACCGGUAGCUAAUACCGCAUACCAUCGGAUGUGCCCAGAUGGGAUUAGCGAGUAGGUGGGGUAAAGGCUCACCUAGGCGACGAUCCCUAGCUGGUCUGAGAGGAUGACGACACACACUGGAACUGAGACACGGUCCAGACUCCUACGGGAGGCAGCAGUGGGGAAUAUUGCACAAUCGGCGCAAGCCUGAUUCGGCCAUGCCGCGUGUAUGAAUAAGGCCUACGGGUUGUAAAGUACUUUCGGCGGGGAGUCGUUACCCGCAGAAGAAGCACCGGCUAACACCGUGCCAGCAGCCGCGGUAAUUC